rnacentral:rRNA from 1 species
GAUGAACGCUAGCGGAAGGCUUAAUACAUGCAAGUCGAGCGGUAGUCCCCUUCGGGGGAUGAGAGCGGCGCACGGGUGAGUAACGCGUACAUGACCUGCCUGUCAGAAGGGGAUAGCCCUGGGAAACUGGGAUUAAUACCCUAUGGUAUUGAUAUUAUGAAUGAUAUCAAUUAAAGUUGAGGCGCUGACAGAUGGAUGUGCGUCUGAUUAGCUAGUUGGUAGGGUAACGGCCUACCAAGGCGACGAUCAGUAGGGGGCGUGAGAGCGUGGUCCCCCACACGGGUACUGAGACACGGACCCGACUCCUACGGGAGGCAGCAGUAAGGAAUAUUGGUCAAUGCCCGCAAGGGUGAACCAGCCAUUCCGCGUGGAGGAUGAAGGCCCUAUGGGUUGUAAACUUCUUUUAGAUGGGAAGAAAAUGCUAGAUGUAUCUGGUACUGACGGUACCAUCAGAAUAAGCACCGGCUAACUCCGUGCCAGCAGCCGCGGUAACAC